rnacentral:rRNA from 1 species
UACCAGCACCCCGAGUGGUCGGGACGAUUAUUGGGCCUAAAGCAUCCGUAGCCGGUUCUACAAGUCUUCCGUUAAAUCCACCUGCUCAACAGAUGGGCUGCGGAGGAUACUAUAGAGCUAGGAGGCGGGAGAGGCAAGCGGUACUUAGUGGGUAGGGGUAAAAUCCGUUGAUCCAUUGAAGACCACCAGUGGCGAAGGCGGCUUGCCAGAACGCAC